rnacentral:snRNA from 1 species
AGAUGUCAGGGUGAUCUGGCUGCGACACCUGUCACCCCAUGGAUCGCCAGGGUUGAUUCGGCUGAUCUGGCUGGCUAGGUGGGUAUCCCCUUCGUCCCUCUCUUUCCAAGUACGACCCUCCCAAAGCUGCGCACUCAAAGAGGAUGACCAUCCCUGAUAGAGGAGGACCCGGCUUUGGUCAAGGGUGUAUGAGUAGCCAUGCUCCCCUGCUAGAACCUCCAAACAAGCUCUCAAGAAUAAGCUAUGUUCUGUCACAAGGUUUUUCUUUUUUUCUAGCAGCU